UACGUAGGGUGCAAGCGUUUAAUCGGAAUUACUGGGCGUAAAGCGUGCGCAGGCGGUUAUGUAAGACAGAUGUGAAAUCCCCGGGCUCAACCUGGGAACUGCAUUUGUGACUGCAUAGCUAGAGUACGGUAGAGGGGGAUGGAAAUUCCGCGUGUAGCAGUGAAAUGCGUAGAUAUGCGGAGGAACACCGAUGGCGAAGGCAAUCCCCUGGACCUGUACUGACGCUCAUGCACGAAAGCGUGGGGAGCAAACAGG
rnacentral:rRNA from 1 species